AUUGAACGCUGGCGGCAUGCCUUACACAUGCAAGUCGAACGGCAGCACGGGAGCAAUCCUGGUGGCGAGUGGCGAACGGGUGAGUAAUAUAUCGGAACGUGCCCAGUAGUGGGGGAUAGCCCGGCGAAAGCCGGAUUAAUACCGCAUGAGACCUGAGGGUGAAAGCGGGGGACUCGCAAGAGCCUCGCGCUACUGGAGCGGCCGAUAUCAGAUUAGCUAGUUGGUGGGGUAAAAGCCUACCAAGGCUACGAUCUGUAGUUGGUCUGAGAGGACGACCAGCCACACUGGGACUGAGACACGGCCCAGACUCCUACGGGAGGCAGCAGUGGGGAAUUUUGGACAAUGGGCGAAAGCCUGAUCCAGCAAUGCCGCGUGCAGGAAGAAGGCCUUCGGGUUGUAAACUGCUUUUGUCAGGGAAGAAAUCCCUUGGGAUAAUACCUCGGGGGGAUGACGGUACCUGAAGAAUAAGCACCGGCUAACUACGUG
rnacentral:rRNA from 1 species